UACCAGCUCUCCGAGUUGUAGGGAUGAUUAUUGGGCUUAAAGCGUCCGUAGCUGGCUUAGCAAGUCUCCUGUUAAAUUCAGCGACCUAAUCGUUGAGCCGCGGGAGAUACUACUAGGCUAGGAGGCGGGAGAGGUCGACGGUACUUUCGGGGUAGGGGUGAAAUCCUAUAAUCCCGGGAGGACCACCAGUGGCGAAGGCUGUCGACUAGAACGCGCUCGACGGUGAGGGACGAAAGCUGGGGGAGCGAACCGGAUUAGAUACCCGGGUAGUCCCAGCUGUAAACGAUGCGGGCUAGGUGUUGGGGUGGCUACGUGCCACUUCAGUGCCGCAGGGAAGCCAUUAAGCUCGUCGCCUGGGGAGUACGGCCGCAAGGCUGAAAUUUAAAGGAAUUGGCGGGGGAGCACCACAAGGCGUGAAGCUUGCGGUUC
rnacentral:rRNA from 1 species